AUGUCCUCUGCUUCUAAGGCUUCUUCUGCUGAUGGUCUUCAAGGUGCUGCUGCUGCUCCCAAGCUGUGGCUGGCUUCGCUGCUGCAGCACCAUGCCGUCUUCAACGACUCACCAACGACGGCAGCUCCUCCGCUUCAGGGCUACUGCGGCAUGCGUGUCUCCCUCCUCCAGGAGGUUGUGCGGCACCGAGCGGGUGUACGGCGAGGUCUUCGUAAUGGCAUCAAGUCACCCUUGCCAUAUGGAUCAUAUGUAAGCUCUUCCUGCUCCUACAGGAGUACAUUUUCAUGCUUCAAAUAUGAACCUAUAUCAGGGGAAAGCAGUGGACCAUAA
rnacentral:rRNA from 1 species